rnacentral:rRNA from 1 species
GAUGAACGCUGGCGGCGUGCUUAACACAUGCAAGUCGAACGAUGAAAGCGGGAGCUUGCUCCUGCUGGAUUAGUGGCGAACGGGUGAGUAACACGUGAGUAACCUGCCCUUGACUCUGGGAUAAGCGUUGGAAACGACGUCUAAUACCGGAUACGACCUUCGGAGGCAUCUCCUGGGGGUGGAAAGAAUUUCGGUCAAGGAUGGACUUGCGGCCUAUCAGCUAGUUGGUGAGGUAAUGGCUCACCAAGGCGACGACGGGUAGCCGGCCUGAGAGGGUGACCGGCCACACUGGGACUGAGACACGGCCCAGACUCCUACGGGAGGCAGCAGUGGGGAAUAUUGCACAAUGGGCGCAAGCCUGAUGCAGCAACGCCGCGUGAGGGACGACGGCCUUCGGUUG